rnacentral:rRNA from 1 species
GCUGGCAACCAGACUCGAGUGCGGGGGUUCCCCUGGGCUUCUGCCCAGGUUACUCCCCCGUAACCGGGCCAUCAUCAGUUUUGGGGGUUGGUUAAAGGCGCCGGGAAUGUAUGCUCGCCUUCGGGGGAGCACUUAUAGCCCGGCGUGUCAUGCAGCCUCCCGGGACUGAGGAACGCGCUUCGGCGAGGAUGAUGGCGUAAUGGUUGUCAGCGA